UGGGGAAUAUUGGACAAUGGGCGCAAGCCUGAUCCAGCCAUGCCGCGUGAGUGAUGAAGGCCCUAGGGUUGUAAAGCUCUUUCACCGGUGAAGAUAAUGACGGUAACCGGAGAAGAAGCCCCGGCUAACUUCGUGCCAGCAGCCGCGGUAAUACGAAGGGGGCUAGCGUUGUUCGGAUUUACUUGGCGUAAAGCGCACGUAGGCGGACUUUUAAGUCAGGGGUGAAAUCCCGGGGCUCAACCCCGGAACUGCCUUUGAUACUGGAAGUCUUGAGUAUGGUAGAGGUGAGUGGAAUUCCGAGUGUAGCGGUGACAUUCGUAGAUCUUCGGAGGAACACCCGUGGCGAAGGCGGCUCACUGGACCAUUACUGACGCUGAGGUGCGAAAGCGUGAGGAGCAAACAGG
rnacentral:rRNA from 1 species